GAUGAACGCUAGCGGGAGGCUUAACACAUGCAAGUCGAGGGGCAGCAUAGGGUAGCAAUACUCUGAUGGCGACCGGCAAACGGGUGAGUAACGCGUAUGCAACCUACCCUGUACAGGGGGAUAACCCGGAGAAAUUCGGACUAAUAUCCCGUAAUAAUAUCCGGAGGCAUCUUUGGAUAUUUAAAGUUCCGACGGUACGGGAUGGGCAUGCGUAACAUUAACUGGUUGGUAAGGUAACGGCUUACCAAGGCUAUGAUGUUUAGGGGUCCUGAGAGGGUGGUCCCCCACACUGGUACUGAGACACGGACCAGACUCCUACGGGAGGCAGCAGUGAGGAAUAUUGGUCAAUGGGCGCAAGCCUGAACCAGCCAUCCCGCGUGCAGGAAGACGGCCCUAUGGGUUGUAAACUGCUUUUCCAGGGAGAGAAACUUACGCACGUGUUGCGUGACUGACGGUACCCUGGGAAUAAGCAUCGGCUAACUCCGUGCCAGCAGCCGCGGUAAAACGUAG
rnacentral:rRNA from 1 species